rnacentral:lncRNA from 1 species
AUAAAUAACAUGGCCAGUCCAGGAUUAAUAUAAGAAGAGCAUGCAACAAAUUCAAACUCAAUAUCGCCAGCUUAUGAUUUCUUCAUUAACCUUAUUCCAGAUGGCGAAUUGGAUGAAAUGGGAUAGUCAGAAGUGCAGUUUACGAACUAGCAUGAAUUCGCCUAGGACUGCCAAGAACAAAAAUCACAACAAAACACUCAAAAAUCAACAUUGUCACCCCACACUUGAAGUUUGAAACUACAAACUUGGGUACAAAACGACUAACUCAGAAACUUGGUCGAAAUCGCAAAUUCCAGGUAAGAGCAGCAUCAAGGGAUGAUAGACUUCAAAGGAGGCAUUUAGGAAUUGCGAAGAACAACUCAAAACCCAAAUAAAAAUCAAGUUUUCUGUCCUAGAUAUUGCAACUGACCGAAAUAGAAAUGAAGAGGAAUGGUCAAUCUUGUCAAUCUGGAGUAAAGAUCGGAGUUGUCAAUCUUCAAUCGGCAGAGCACAGGUCAGCACUUCACAUCAUGUAUGCUUUGGAGGUUGUCAACUUGAACGGAAAAACGCAAAUGGCGGCGAGGUAACAGCAGCGGUGAUGACGAGGUUUAGUCGGAGAAGAUGAUCAGUUGACCGAAACCAAAUAUCCGGUUGACGGUACGUCCACUUCCCACGCAAACGACCUCAAAUAACCAAUCCAAUCCCCCAAGUCGAUAUCAAUUUACCGAAGCCGGAGACCCCAGAGAAUCGGGACUUGUUUCUGAGAGGGAUAAAUGCACUCAUCGGAGCAGAAGGGGAAACUGAUUCAACGACCGGCGAGAAGAGGAAUCGGGAAAAAACGACGAGAAGAGGGAAAAGAGCAGGUAGACGCAUGCACAACACAUUGGCGCGUGGAAGUCCAG